rnacentral:lncRNA from 1 species
GGGAACCAUUAGAGGAGUCCUUUUAGAGCAGGCUUUGUCAUGAGUCAGGUUAUGUGCUACACUUUUACAGGCUCCAAUCCUGGAAUAAUCCUUCAUCUUUACCUACCUGAUUCCUGAGGCAUCAAGUCCAAUGUCAUCAGCAGACCUGUUUAAUAUCACUGUGACAGUGUGCCAUUUACCAGGGCUAAAUUGAAUACAUAUGGAUUUUUAAUUGUAUGAUGUUGUGUCUGAGAGUUCCAGCACAGACCAGAUGCCCACUGCGCAAGAUGUUAUACAACACAGAAGAAAAAAUGGUCCUUGCUAUUGUAAGCUCAACUGUUUUUCUCCGCCUGCCACUCAAAAUGAUGAAACUAUUCUUGAAGAAAAGUCAAUGGUCACCAUAUUGUAUCAUAAAUACAACGUAGUCAGGAUAUGACUGCAACUGCUUUCCCUGCCCUGCUUUGGGUCUACUGCACCUGAAGGUGCCCUUGCAGCUGGCAGCCCAGAGGACCGCCACCCUCUCGUCUUCAUUGCACAGUGAGUGAGCCGUGGUGGCGUGAAGGCAGCUGGAGCACACUCCUGGCUUCCUACCAAGCUGCUGUGGAGCCAGGCAGCCCAACCAGGCCCAUG